GAGUCAGGGUCAGGACCAGCCCACUUUAACGGCGGCGAUGCCGUUCUUCGCCAGAUUCGGAAGGUCUCGUAGUCACUCGCUCCGAGUCACUGUCGCUGGAGUCCAGGGGGACCGGUCUUUCUUAUGCGACCUUAGGGCACCAUCGGAAACAACCCCUCCUAGAAGCUUGUAGUCCUCAAGCCAGAAACUCUGCCUCCCUGCCUUGGCGGGCAGACAGACUCAUGAAGACUCAAGGAUGAGACGGACCCGACGGGGAGGGAAGGAGUCAGGCGUGUUGGACGGGGCGUUCCUCAAGUCUGCCUUCAGGGAAUGCUUUACGUCGAGCCCCUCGGGGCCGCUUGGCCAAUCAGAUCCCAGCUGAGAUCCUGAACAAUCCCCAGCUGCAGGCGGCCAUCCAAGUCCUGCCUUCCAACUAUAACUUUGAGAUUCCCAAGACCAUCUGGAGGAUCCAACAGGCCCAGGCCAAGAAGGUGGCCUUACAAAUGCCCGAAGGCCUCCUCCUCUUCGCCUGUACCAUUGUGGAUAUCUUGGAAAGGUUCACGGAGGCCGAAGUGAUGGUGAUGGGAGACGUGACCUACGGGGCUUGCUGUGUGGACGACUUCACUGCGAGAGCCCUGGGAGCUGACUUCCUGGUCCACUAUGGCCACAGCUGCCUGGUUCCCAUGGACACCUCGGCCCAAGACUUCCGGGUGCUGUAUGUCUUUGUGGACAUCCGGAUAGACACUGCCCACCUCCUGGACUCUAUCCGUCUCACCUUUCCCCCAGCCAGUGCCCUUGCGCUGGUCAGCACCAUUCAGUUCGUGUCAACCUUGCAGGCAGCCGCCCAAGAGCUGAAAGCUGAGUAUCGUGUGAGUGUCCCACAGUGCAAGCCCCUGUCCCCUGGGGAGAUUCUGGGCUGCACGUCCCCCUGCCUACCCAAGGAGGUGGAGGCUGUGGUGUAUCUUGGAGAUGGCCGCUUCCACCUGGAGUCUGUCAUGAUCGCCAACCCCAACAUCUCCGCUUACCGAUACGACCCUUACAGCAAGGUCCUGUCCAGAGAGCACUAUGACCACCAGCGCAUGCAGGCCAACCGCCAGGAAGCCAUAGCCACUGCCCGGUCAGCUAAAUCCUGGGGUCUCAUCCUGGGCACUUUGGGCCGCCAAGGCAGUCCCAAGAUCCUGGAGCACCUGGAAUCUCGGCUCCAAGCCUUGGGACUUCCCUUCGUGAGGCUGCUGCUCUCUGAAAUCUUCCCCAGCAAGCUCAGCCUCCUUCCCGAGGUGGAUGUGUGGGUGCAGGUGGCAUGUCCACGCCUGUCCAUUGACUGGGGUACAGCCUUCCCCAAGCCGCUGCUCACGCCCUAUGAGGCGGCGGUGGCCUUGAGGGACAUUUCCUGGCAGCAGCCCUACCCUAUGGACUUCUACGCCAGCAGCUCCUUGGGGCCGUGGACGGUGAACCACGGGCGGGAUCGGCUGCUCCAGGUCCCAGGCCGGCUGGCUCUGGGGAAGGUUCAGGGAGGGCCCGCGCGCCCCUCUCCAGCCGCGGCUUGCGAGGCUUGCAGCUGCAGAGACGAGGAGGUGUCGCCGAUCGCUCCCUGAGACGCUCCUGGUUCCCAGGACCCUGCCCUCCGGAAGAGCAGCCUCGAGGCUGGUGGUUUUCCGAACAGGAGGCAGACGUUUUCUUGGCCUUGGAAGAGCCCACGGCGUGCAGAGGAGAGUAUGCAGCUGUGUAGCCGAUUCGAUGGAGCCGUCACUCUUACCCACUCUGGUGGCCACUUCAUUCCAGCAGCUGCACCCCAGCGCCAGGCCUACCUCAGGUUCUUGGACCAUUUUGCAAACUGAAAGCUCUACAAAGGCCUUUGCCUUUGCAUCCCCUUUCCACUCCCCCCACCCCAAUGACCUUGAUGCAGCUUCUGUAAUUCCUGCGUUUCUUUUUCUACCUAGAAAUCUCCCCUACUAUUAGGGCACCUCACCAUCUCCAAUUAAGAGACAAAUAUCAGUACUUAAGACUCAAAUUAUAUAAGCCCAGCUCUGCACUCAAAGAAAAAAAGGGGGGAGGAUUAGGAGGCCUCAAUGGACUUUGACCUUGGCAUCCUGAAUGAGUAGGGGGUGACAGGAAAAGCUGAGACUUUGCCAGCGCUAACUGCCACACAAUAAAGUGAUUUGGAUUUUAA